GUCCGCGUGGCCCAAAUGGGAGAGGCGGCUGGCUCAAACCCAGCUCACGUGCGAGUUCGAACCUCGCCGCGGACA
rfam:Hyalangium minutum strain DSM 14724 contig_7, whole genome shotgun sequence.